GUCAAGGAUUCCCUUAGUAACUGCGAGUGAAGAGGGAAAAGCUCAAAUUUAAAAUCUGGCAGUCAUUGGCUGUCCGAGUUGUAAUCUAGAGAAGUGUUACCCGUGCUGGACCAUGUACAAGUCUCCUGGAAUGGAGCAUCACAGAGGGUGAGAAUCCCGUCUUUGACAUGGACUACCAGUGCUUUUGUGGUACGCUCUCAAAGAGUCGAGUUGUUUGGGAAUGCAGCUCAAAAUGGGUGGUAAAUGCCAUCUAAAGCUAAAUAUUGGCGAGAGACCGAUAGCGAACAAGUACCGUGAGGGAAAGAUGAAAAGAACUUUGGAAAGAGAGUUAAACAGUACGUGAAAUUGCUGAAAGGGAAACGCUUGAAGUCAGUCGCAUUGACUUGGAAUCAACCCUGCUUUUGCUGGGUGUAUUUUCUUGUCAAUGGGUCAGCAUCAAUUUUGACCGUUGGAUAAAGUUAUUGGGAAUGUGACAUCCUUGGAUGUGUUAUAGCCUGAUGAUGCAUACAGCGGUUGGGAUUGAGGAAUUCAGCAUGCCGCAAGGCCGGGUUUUUUGACCACGUUCAUGCUUAGGAUGCUGGCAUAA
rnacentral:rRNA from 1 species